UCCAGUUAGACCUAACUAGGUUUUUUUCUUUUUUUUUCCCAGUUAGUUAAAAUUAAAUAUUUUUUCGGGCGCCAGACAAGACCAAAAUUUGUCAAGUCAAUCUAUACUAUUUUCGUUUUUAGGUUCCCAGAUAACUCAAGAUAGAGCCCAACUAAAACCCACCAGAUACACAAUGUACCAGCCACACAAAAACACAUACUUUUAAAUAACACUCACAACCAGAUUCAGUUUUUUCUCAGGUCAAAAGAUGUUAUUCAAAAAUAAAAAAAAACACAAACAAAAUUACAAUGUUUCACUUCCCUUCAUUUUGACACUUUUUGUUUAGAAGGAAAAUAACGAAAAAAGGAAAAAGUACAAUAAAGGAAAAUAAGGAAAUAACAGUCCUUAAAUUCUUAAACCAAACAAAAAAACAAAGAAAAGACAAAAAAAAAAGUCGUAGUCCAAGUUUACACAAAACCCAUAUUAAUCCCGCUGAUUGAGCGGGUGUGUGUGUGUGUGUGUGUGUGUGUGUGGGUGUGUGUGUGUGUGUGUGAGCGUGCGCGUAAAAUCAGCGGCACGAAUCAGUCUGCGUUAGGGGCGUCCAGCCAGCUACUGCAUAAACAAUGUUAUGGGGAAACAAAAGUUAGGACGUUUGAAUGUCCGAUGUGACUUUACGUAAGGUGCUAAAAUCUUAAAGUACCUGCAGCAAGUGAACUGGGUUCAUCUGUCGCGCCGAUAUGCAGAUAGGUUGCGACCGGCCGUCAUGCGAAACUAAUCUUCUUCGGAUCGCACCCGGUCUAUGCUCACCCACAAAUCCCGCACAAUAAGCUGCAGCAGCCGCAGUCAUGGAGCCGUCAGGUAACACUCAGAUUUUCUUUUUUUGUUUUUUCACACACCCCCUGCUUCCGUUUUGUCCUCCUUAUAUAUCCAUUUUCCAUACCUCCUCCUAAUUAAGGGUAGGGUAAAAGACCUGGCACGGACUUUUUCCAUAUUGCCACACUCCCCCCCCCUGGAGAAGACAACCUAUGGUUGAGAAAAAGUACUCUGCGGCAGUGGGAAAACAUGGUUUAAUGUUGCAUACAUGCACUGUGCGAACAUCCUCACCUGUGGAUUCCAGCGAUAUGCGAUAGUUCACUGGUCCCACCUGUUUCAAAAUACGCCUUGGUUUGGAGUUCAGCAAGAUGAUGAACUGUGUCAUAGGAUGGACAGUCCGGAGUAAGAUUAGUGCCAUGCAGCAAUUUGUCCAUGGGGCUUUGUAGCUUCCUCCCCAAAUGAAGCUCUGCAGGGGUCAUUCCAAUAGUUUCCUGAACAGCAGAGUUGAUGGCAAAACGGAGUUCUGGUAAGUACUGGUCCCAUUUUUUGUGAUUGUUGUCCACAUAGGCAGAGAUCAUACACUUAAGGGUGCGAUUAAUUCUUUCAGUCAUAUUUGUUUGUGGAUGAUAUGAUGUUGUUAGUUUUGGUUUUACACUCCACUUUUGACACAGUUCCCGAAACAAUGAGGACACAAACUGAACACCUCUGUCCGAUAGGAUGAAGUCCGGCACCCCCCAUCGGGUCAGAAUUUCUCUCCGUAGAAGUAAUGCAACAGACUGAGCAUUUGCGUUGCGCAUAGGAAAAAGUUCCACCCAACGGGAAUAAUAGUCUACGAAGACCAAGAGGUAUUCAUUUUGCUGAGUGCUCCGAGGCAGAGGUCCCAUAAUGUCUACACCAAUCAUUUCAUUGGGAUGGGUAGUGACAGUUUGUUGUAGUCUUCCUGCAGGUUUCCGAUUUCCUCCUUUUAACGUCUGGCAUUUAAUGCAUCUUUUAACGUAUUGCUUGACAUCCAUCCACAUGCCAGGCCAGAAUGCGACAUCAUAGAUACGCUUAUAGGUCUUAUAAAUACCCACAUGGCCGCUCCAGGGAUUUGAGUGAUAGUGAUGUAGAAUGGAUGAUACAAGGCUAUCAGGAAUGUACACUCUGUAAUGAACUUCGUUGUUUGACCGGAUCUUUGUGCUGCUCAUCCCAGAUGUCAGCAGGAGACAUCGGAAGUUCUGGCUUCUCCUGUUGGCUGGUGUAAAGGCUACAACUGGUGUGCAUUCGAGACAGAGCAUCAGGUUCUGCUGGCAUACGCAAUUACCUGUUCCAUUCCCUGUUCCUUUUUCUGAGUCAACACAGC